AUUGAACGCUGGCGGCAGGCCUAACACAUGCAAGUCGAGCGAGAAAGGUCUUCGGACUGAGUACAGCGGCGGACGGGUGAGUAAUGCGCAGGAAUCUACCUGGUAGUGGGGGAUAACUCGGGGAAACUCGAACUAAUACCGCAUACGCCUACGGGGAAAGCGGGGGACCUUCGGGCCUCGCGCUAUCAGAUGAGCCUGCGUAGGAUUAGCUUGUUGGUGAGGUAAAGGCUCACCAAGGCGACGAUCCUUAGCUGGUCUGAGAGGAUGAUCAGCCACACUGGAACUGAGACACGGUCCAGACUCCUACGGGAGGCAGCAGUGGGGAAUAUUGCGCAAUGGGCGAAAGCCUGACGCAGCCAUGCCGCGUGUGUGAAGAAGGCCCUUGGGUUGUAAAGCACUUUCAAUUGGAAGAAAGUUGCGUGUUAAUAGCACGUAGCUGUGACGUUACCUUUAGAAGAAGCACCGGCUAACUCCGUGCCAGCAGCC
rnacentral:rRNA from 1 species